UACAGAGGUCUCAAGCGUUGUUCGGAUUCAUUGGGCGUAAAGGGUGCGUAGGCGGCGCGGUAAGUCGGGUGUGAAAUCUCGGAGCUUAACUCCGAAACUGCAUUCGAUACUGCCGUGCUUGAGGACUGGAGAGGAGACUGGAAUUUACGGUGUAGCGGUGAAAUGCGUAGAUAUCUGCAGGAACACCCGUGGCGAAGGCGGCUCACUGGCCCGAUACUGACGCUGAGGCACGAAAGCGUGGGGAGCAAACAGG
rnacentral:rRNA from 1 species